AAUCAAUAAGUAAAAAGUUUCAAUUAAAUUUUAAUUUGACGUUUUAUAACGCCAUCUAUUAGUAAUUAAAGCAACUAUUUGCGUCUUUAUCAAGUGUCAUUUUUUGUUAUAACUUAUUUUGCGUGAAAUAAAACUAAAACUAGAAAUUUUGAGGUUAUGCCGUGCGUCUAUGACGCACGGCAUAACCCUAAAAUUUCUACUUUUAGUUUUAUUUCUUAUUCCAUCGACAGUAACGGUUGUGAAAAGUGUCACUUAAAAAAGUGAGGUUAGGUUACGUUGAAAAAGUACUUCGAAGACGUCGCCGAGUUUACUUUUUAUGGCUGUUUCAAGCGAAAUCGCUUCUUAUGAGUCGCUAAUAUGAAAAAAAAAUCGUUGAGGACGCACUGAUACCGGUUGUAAAGUUUUACUUGAAAAGUGAGGUUAGGUUGGGUUGAAAAAGUACUUCGAAGACGUCGGCCGAGUUUAAUGUAAAAGAAAAUCUUUGAGGACGCACUAAGUUAUGCCGUGCGUCGUAUUAGGCAGCGAAUAACAAUGCCGAUUACAGGAAACUGUAAAAUAUGUUCCUCUAUAAACAAAGAUUAUACUAAUCACCUUCUGAAAAAAGGCGUAAAUUAAAGUUAAUUUUAAUUAAAAUUGUUAUUAAAAACACUUAUUGAAGAGAUUUUAAUGGAAAUUCACCUAUAGAUAUCAGGAAUGCUGGAAAAUCUAUUAAAACCGAGGUUCAUCAAGAUUUUUGUUAACUGCUAUAUCUAUUAAUGGGAAGAAAAGGAUUUAUGAAGAAAAGGCGUGUAUUGAAGAGAUUUUAAUGGAAAUUAACCUGAAGAUUCCGUGGAUGAUUUUUAACUCCGAUAACCAUUAAUCAGGAGAAAAGCGUUCUUGUUUCGGAAUAAUACGGAAAAUGCGAAAUAAAAGGAUUUAUCAAGAAAAGGCGUUUAUUGAUGAGAUGUGAAUGGAAAUUAACCUAUGGAUGCUGAAAAGUCAAUUAAAACCAAAGUUCAUCAAGAUUUUUUUUUAACUCCAAUAACAAUUAAUCAGAAGAAAUAUACUAUUGUUUAUAUCUAAUUAGAAAUAAAAGGAUAUAUCAAGGGAUUUUAUUAAGAUUGGAAAUUAAAAUAUUUCAAAGAAAUUCUUUACAUACAUUAUUUCUUGAGCUUCACUUGAACCUUCGAAAUGGUAGUAAUUAUGAUGGUAGUAUUAAUGUUGAUGCUCGUUUUUAAGAACAAUAAAUUUUAUUUAAAAUA
rnacentral:lncRNA from 1 species